AAGUUUUGGACUUAGUCCGAUAUCGAUUGAUCCAUGAAAUCGGAGAAUUCUAGUUCGUACGAAGUUCAUUCUGAAAUGGAGUGAUGGGUGUAUUGCAUAGUUCUAGAGAUUGGAUUUCACUCAAAACCCUCCUAAUGACUCCUCCCACAAUAUUGUGAUGUUCCCCAAGUUUUCAACUCAAUCCGAUAUCGAUUUGUCCAUGAAAUUGGACAAUUCAGGUUCGUACGAAGUUCGUUCUGAAAUAGAGUGC
rnacentral:lncRNA from 1 species